GAUGAACGCUGGCGGCGUGCUUAACACAUGCAAGUCGAACGGUGAAGCAGGAGCUUGCUCCUGUGGAUCAGUGGCGAACGGGUGAGUAACACGUGAGCAAUCUGCCCUGGACUCUGGGAUAAGCGUUGGAAACGACGUCUAAUACCGGAUACGAGGCGUGGGGGCAUCCCCAACGCCUGGAAAGAACUUCGGUCCAGGAUGGGCUCGCGGCCUAUCAGGUAGUUGGUGAGGUAACGGCACACCAAGCCUACGACGGGUAGCCGGCCUGAGAGGGUGACCGGCCACACUGGGACUGAGACACGGCCCAGACUCCUACGGGAGGCAGCAGUGGGGAAUAUUGCACAAUGGGCGCAAGCCUGAUGCAGCAACGCCGCGUAAGGGACGACGGCCUUCGGGUUGUAAACCUCUUUUAGCAGGGAAGAAGCGAAAGUGACGGUACCUGCAGAAAAAGCACCGGCUAACUACGUGCCAGCAGCCGCCGUAACAC
rnacentral:rRNA from 1 species